rnacentral:rRNA from 1 species
UUGGAGGGCAAGUCUGGUGCCAGCAGCCGCGGUAAUUCCAGCUCCAAUAGCGUAUAUUAAAGUUGUUGCAGUUAAAAAGCUCGUAGUUGAAUUUCGGGGUUCAUCCGUUGGUCGGGCUUUUUUGGUCUGUACUGGCGUGAUGAAUUCCUACCUUCUGAAUAACCAGCAUGUCAUUAAUUUGGUGCGCUGGGGAAGCAGGACUGUUACCUUGAAAAAAUUAGAGUGCUUAAAGCAGGCUAUCGCCUGAAUACAUUAGCAUGGAAUAAUGAAAUAGGACGGCAUGGUUCUAUUUUGUUGGUUUCUAGGAUCACCGUAAUGAUUAAUAGGGAUAGUUGGGGGCAUUAGUAUUCAAUUGUCAGAGGUGAAAUUCUUGGAUUUAUUGAAGACUAACUUCUGCGAAAGCAUUUGCCAAGGAUGUUUUCAUUAAUCAAGAACGAAAGUUAGGGGAUCGAAGACGAUCAGAUACCGUCGUAGUCUUAACCAUAAACUAUGCCGACUAGGGAUCGGAUGAUGUUAAUUUUUUAAUGACUCAUUCGGCGCCUUACGGGAAAC